rnacentral:rRNA from 1 species
GAGACGCUGGCGGCGUGCCUAACACAUGCAAGUCAAGGGGAAAGCAGACUUCGGUUUGUGAUUAUACUGGCGGACGGGUGAGUAACGCGUAGGCAACCUGCCCUUGUGACGGGGAUAACCCACCGAAAGGCGGACUAAUACCGGAUAACAUUCUGAAUAUGCAUGUAUUUAGAAUCAAAGGUGCUGCAAAGUACCGCACAGGGAUGGGCCUGCGUUCCAUUAGUUAGUUGGUGAGGUAACGGCUCACCAAGGCAGCGAUGGAUAGCUGGUCUGAGAGGGUGAUCAGCCACACUGGGACUGAGAUACGGCCCAGACUCCUACGGGAGGCAGCAGUGAGGAAUAUUGCGCAAUGGACGAAAGUCUGACGCAGCAACGCCGCGUGGGGGAUGAAGCACUAUGGUGUGUAAACCUCUGUAGACAGGGAAGAAUGGCAUUAGUUCGUAAGGGCUAGUGUGUGACGGUACCUGUAAAGUAAGCUCCGGCUAACUCCGUGCCAGCCGCCGCGGUAAUACAAGCCGAAAAAAACAA